ACCCUUUAAUGGCUGGUGUUCUAACGUAGACCCGUAAUCCGGGUUGCGGACAGUGUCUGGUGGGUAGUUUGACUGGGGCGGUCUCCUCCCAAAGAGUAACGGAGGAGCACGAAGGUUAGCUAAUCCUGGUCGGACAUCAGGAGGUUAGUGCAAUGGCAUAAGCUAGCUUGACUGCGAGAGUGACGGCUCGAGCAGGUGCGAAAGCAGGUCAUAGUGAUCCGGUGGUUCUGAAUGGAAGGGCCAUCGCUCAACGGAUAAAAGGUACUCCGGGGAUAACAGGCUGAUACCGCCCAAGAGUUCAUAUCGACGGCGGUGUUUGGCACCUCGAUGUCGGCUCAUCACAUCCUGGGGCUGAAGUAGGUCCCAAGGGUACGGCUGUUCGCCGUUUAAAGUGGUACGCGAGCUGGGUUUAGAACGUCGUGAGACAGUUCGGUCCCUAUCUGCCGUGGGCGCUGGAGAAUUGAGGGGGGCUGCUCCUAGUACGAGAGGACCGGAGUGGACGCAUCACUGGUGUUCGGGUUGUCAUGCCAAUGGCAUUGCCCGGUAGCUAAAUGCGGAAAAGAUAAGUGCUGAAAGCAUCUAAGCACGAAACUUGCC
rnacentral:rRNA from 1 species